rnacentral:rRNA from 1 species
UUAAGGGUGCGUAGGCGGUUAUUAAGUCAGUGGUGAAAGACGGUCGCUCAACGAUUGCAGUGCCAUUGAUACUGGUAGACUUGAGUGAGAUUGAGGUAGCUGGAAUGGAUAGUGUAGCGGUGAAAUGCAUAGAUAUUAUCCAGAACACCAAUUGCGUAGGCAAGUUACUAAGUCUCAACUGACGCUGAGGCACGAAAGUGUGGGUAUCAAACAGGAUUAGAUACCCUGGU